rnacentral:rRNA from 1 species
GACGAACGCUGGCGGCGUGCCUAAUACAUGCAAGUCGAACGCAGUGGGGACGGGUGAGUAACACGUGGGUAACCUCCCAUCAGAGGGGAUAACACUUGGAACCAGGUGCUAAACCGAUACUGAUGGAUGGACCCGCGGUGCAUUAGCUAGUUGGUGAGGUAACGGCCCACCAAGGCCACGAUACAUAGGCGACCCGAGAGGGGUAUUGGACAACCCGGGACCGGGAAACGGCCCAGAACUCUACGGGAGGAAGCCGUAGGGAAGUUUAGGAAAAGGGCGGAAGUCCGAACGAGGAAAGCCGCCGGAGUGAAGAAGGUUUUUGGAUUGGAAAGCUUCUUUGUUAGGGAAGCGGUAACUAACCAGAAAGGGACGGCUAACUACGUGCCAGCAGCCGCGGUAAUUC